GAAAGAGUUGGACUCAUUCUAAAGCAUUCAAGAUUCAAUAACAUCACUCGGCUGCUUCAGGCUGAGCAUGGAAACCGAUGAAGACCUUCCCACAUACGAUCCCCUCUCGUAUGUUUCAAAGAGGGAGCGCUCUCGUGUCAGAUCAGCACAGAAGGCUGUCCACCUCAUCCCUCUUCUCGUUCUUCUCUGCGCCAUCAUCCUCUGGUUCUUCUCUGCUCCUACUCCUUCACCGCAAAAAGCCUGAGGAAGCUGAAGUUGAAUCCUGAAGAUGACAGAGCAGUUGAAGUGCUAUUUCAUUUUGUCAAAUGAUUUUGUGGUUCGCUUUUGAUUAGAUUAAAUGAUGGCUUGGAUGGACUAGUUUAGUUUUAAAAUGUAAACAAAGAAAAUCAUAGAUAUGGUUCUUAGUUCAGAAAUACUCCAAUCUUGAUUGUAUUCUUAUCUAUAAUAUAUGGCUUUUAUUGUGUUGA